GCCAGCAUAGCAUAGUGGUUUGAGCAUAGGAUUAUGACUCUGGAGAUCAGGGUUUGAAUCCCUGCUUGGCC